rnacentral:rRNA from 1 species
GAUGAACGCUGGCGGCGUGCCUAAUACAUGAAAGUCGAGCGAACGGACGAGAAGCUUGCUUCUCUGAUGUUAGCGGCGGACGGGUGAGUAACACGUGGAUAACCUACCUAUAAGACUGGGAUAACUUCGGGAAACCGGAGCUAAUACCGGAUAAUAUUUUGAACCGCAUGGUUCAAAAGUGAAAGACGGUCUUGCUGUCACUUAUAGAUGGAUCCGCGCUGCAUUAGCUAGUUGGUAAGGUAACGGCUUACCAAGGCAACGAUGCAUAGCCGACCUGAGAGGGUGAUCGGCCACACUGGAACUGAGACACGGUCCAGACUCCUACGGGAGGCAGCAGUAGGGAAUCUUCCGCAAUGGGCGAAAGCCUGACGGAGCAACGCCGCGUGAGUGAUGAAGGUCUUCGGAUCGUAAAACUCUGUUAUUAGGGAAGAACAUAUGUGUAAGUAACUGUGCACAUCUUGACGGUACCUAAUCAGAAAGCCACGGCUAACUACGUGCCAGCAGCCGCGGUAAUACGUAGGUGGCAAGCGUUAUCCGGAAUUAUUGGGCGUAAAGCGCGCGUAGGCGGUUUUUUAGUCUGAUGUGAAAGCCCACGGCUCAACCGUGGAGGGUCAUUGGAAACUGGAAAACUUGAGUGCAGAAGAGGAAAGUGGAAUUCCAUGUGUAGCGGUGAAAUGCGCAGAGAUAUGGAGGAACACCAGUGGCGAAGGCGACUUUCUGGUCUGUAACUGACGCUGAUGUGCGAAAGCGUGGGGAUCAAACAGGAUUAGAUACCCUGGUAGUCCACGCCGUAAACGAUGAGUGCUAAGUGUUAGGGGGUUUCCGCCCCUUAGUGCUGCAGCUAACGCAUUAAGCACUCCGCCUGGGGAGUACGACCGCAAGGUUGAAACUCAAAGGAAUUGACGGGGACCCGCACAAGCGGUGGAGCAUGUGGUUUAAUUCGAAGCAACGCGAAGAACCUUACCAAAUCUUGACAUCCUUUGACAACUCUAGAGAUAGAGCCUUCCCCUUCGGGGGACAAAGUGACAGGUGGUGCAUGGUUGUCGUCAGCUCGUGUCGUGAGAUGUUGGGUUAAGUCCCGCAACGAGCGCAACCCUUAAGCUUAGUUGCCAUCAUUAAGUUGGGCACUCUAAGUUGACUGCCGGUGACAAACCGGAGGAAGGUGGGGAUGACGUCAAAUCAUCAUGCCCCUUAUGAUUUGGGCUACACACGUGCUACAAUGGACAAUACAAAGGGCAGCGAAACCGCGAGGUCAAGCAAAUCCCAUAAAGUUGUUCUCAGUUCGGAUUGUAGUCUGCAACUCGACUACAUGAAGCUGGAAUCGCUAGUAAUCGUAGAUCAGCAUGCUACGGUGAAUACGUUCCCGGGUCU